rnacentral:rRNA from 1 species
CGUGUAGGCGGCCCGGUAAGUCCGCUGUGAAAGCCCUGGGCUCAACCUGGGAAUUGCAUUCGAAACUAUCUGACUCGAGUAUGGGAGAGGGAAGCGGAAUUUCCGGUGUAGCGGUGAAAUGCGUAGAUAUCGGAAGGAACACCAGUGGCGAAGGCGGCUUCCUGGACUAAUACUGACACUGAGGUGCGAAAGCGUGGGGAAGCAAACA